AUACAAUAUCGGCUUCCAGGUGGUUUGUGGCACAUCAGAAGGGAGUGACCUAGGACUGUGGAUUGGUGGGGGCAGGCGAUACACUCCACACCUGAAAAGGUUUGAUCAUUUGCAUGACUGAGCACCUGAGUUAUGGAUCUGGAACCCCAGAUUGGCCAGAAUCUUGCAGAUGUGGAUUUGAAGAAUUCAGCAGUGAAGCCAUCAGGACCUGGCCUUUUUUGUUGUUGAUUGCAGCUCCAGUUACCAACAGCUUAAUCUGAGGAUCCACGAGCCACCCACAUACAAAGGAAUAUGGAGAAGAUAAAAUACUGUGCAUUCUGGUGUAUAUUCAAACACCCAAACCAGUAAACGUGUGUCUCCACAUCUUUCUGAGGUAGGUAGCAGAGCGAAGUGAUGAAAACAGAAACUGUAACCACACUGCGUUCUACCUCUAGCAUCUCUUGUGACCUUAGGGAAGUUCUCACCCUGUCUGUGCUCUCCCCACUCCUAAGUGGAUUAUUCUGUGUAAAGCACUUCAUGCUUUCCCAUUAGGGCUGGAACAAGGACCCAAGAUGAGUGCCAAGUAUCUCAGCACAGCAAGAGCAAGUUGCCGGAGUCAGGAAUGUCUGUGAUGGCACUACCUCAAGCACGGUGUAAGGUUUCCCUUUGCUCAUGUCAGCUUCAAAGGAUCUAUCUUUAGCAAGGUAAGGAAUCUGUUGUUUCUUCCCUCUUGCCUGUAAACCAGGUCCCUUCAUUUCUCCUUAGCCCC